GACAGAGGUGCCAAGCGUUAGGCGGAAUCACCGGGCUUAAAGCGUGUGUAGGCGGAUGCCUAAGUACCUUGUGAAAUCCCACGGCUCAACCGUGGAACUGCUUGGUAUACUGGGUGUCUUGAGCCAUCUAGGGGCUACCGGAACAAAUGGUGGAGCGGUGAAAUGCGUAGAUAUCAUUUGGAACGCCAAUGGUGAAAACAGGUAGCUGGGGAUGUGCUGACGCUGAGACACGAAAGCCAGGGGAGCAAACGGG
rnacentral:rRNA from 1 species